CAUGACAACAGAAGCCCCAGAAAUCCUCCUCAUCAAAAACAUGACUCUGAUCUCCGUCCUCAUCUGGACUCUCCUCUGCUGCUGCUUCACAGAGUCCAGAGGUCAGGUCACAGUGACUCAGCCUGGAGCAGUGAGCUCUGCUCGGGGAGCCUCCGUCUCCAUCAGCUGUAGGCUCAGUCAAAAUGUUUAUGUAGCGCCUUCAAAUUGGGGUUCGAACAGUGGGAAAAACGUUUUGUACUGGUACCAACAGAGAGAUGGAGAAGCUCCUAAACUGCUCAUUAAAUUUGUUAAUGAGCGAGCAUCAGGGAUUUCAGGUCGUUUUUCAGGCAGUGGAUCAAACUCUGACUUCACUCUGACCAUCAGUGGAGUUGAGGCUGAAGAUGCAGCAGUUUAUUACUGUCAGAGUUAUCAUUGGAUCAACAGUCAGAAUGUGUUCACGUUCCGUGGAAUGGAUGAGUAGACUGGAUGUUUUCUACUGAGAUGC